UUCGCAAGAUAAUUUUAUCAGAGAUUGUCCUGAGCUAAAUGAAAUAGAUAAAUCUCAGCAUACAAGAUCGAGCUAUACAACAGCAAGAGGGAGACCGCCAAGAAAUACGGGAAAUGUAUCCAGUGGUAGAGGUGCGAUAAGAACUCUGCUAUGAGGUUUGAGGCACGAGCACCUGGCUGAGCUUAUGCUAUUCGUGUACGGGAUGAGGCAUCAUCGCC
rnacentral:lncRNA from 1 species